rnacentral:rRNA from 1 species
GGUUAAUAGCCCGUGGAAUUGACGGUACCUCCAGAGGAAGCCCCGGCUAAAUACGUGCCAGCAGCCGCGGUAAUACGUAUGGGGCAAGCGUUGUCCGGAUUUACUGGGGCGUAAAGGGCGCUUAGGCGGUUGGUUACGUCGAAGGUGAAAUCCUCGGGCUCAACUCGAGAAUUGCCUUCGAUACUGGCAAACUAGAGUGGCGGAGAGGAAAGCGGAACUCUUGGUGUAACGGUGGAAUGUGUAGAUAUCAAGAGGAACACCGGUGGCGAAGGCGGCUUUCUGGGCGCACACUGACGCUCAGGCGCGAAAGCGUGGGUAGCAAACAGGAUUAGAUACCCUGGUAGUCCACGCCAUAAACGAUGGGUACUAGGUGUCGGGGGUAUCGACCCCUCCGGUGCCGCAGUUAACGCACUAAGUACCCCGCCUGGGGAUUAUGGUCGCAAGGCUGAAACUCAAAGGAAUUGACGGGGCCCCGCACAAGCGGUGGAGCAUGUGGUUUAAUUCGACGCAACGCGAAGAACCUUACCUGGGCUUGACAUGCUUGGGACAGCGCUGGAAACAGCGUCUCUCCUUCGGGAGCCCUUGCACAGGUGCUGCAUGGCUGUCGUCAGCUCGUGUCGUGAGAUGUUGGGUUAAGUCCCGCAACGAGCGCAACCCUCGUUACUAGUUGCCAUCAGUUCGGCUGGGCACUCUAGUGAGACUGCCGGUGAUAAACCGGAGGAAGGUGAGGAUGAUGUCAAGUCAUCAUGGCCCUUACGCCCAGGGCUACACACGUGCUACAAUGGUCGGCACAAAGGGUCGCUAAGCCGCGAGGUGGAGCUAAUCCCAAAAAGCCGGCCUCAGUUCGGAUUGGAGUCUGCAACCCGACUCCAUGAAGGCGGAAUCGCUAGUAAUCGCGGAUCAGCAUGCCGCGGUGAAUAUGUUCCCGGGGCUUGUACACACCGCCCGUCAUAUCACCCGAGUCGGGAUACCCGAAGUCCGUGACCCAACCAUUUGGAGGGAGC